rnacentral:rRNA from 1 species
AUUGAACGCUAGCGGGAUGCUUUACACAUGCAAGUCGAACGAGUGGCGGACGGGUGAGCAAUAUAUCGGAACGUGCCCAGUAGAUGGGGAUAACUACUCGACAGUGUGGCUAAUACCGCCUACUAUUGGAGCGGCCGAUUUCGGAUUAGCUAGUUGGGGGGGUAAAGGCUCACAAAGGCAACGAUCCGUAGCUGGUUUGAGAGGAGGACCAGCCACACUGGGAAUGAGACACGGCCCAGACUCCGACGGGAGGCAGCAGUGGGGAAUUUUGGACAAUGGGGGAAACCCUGAUCCAGCCAUGCCGCGUGUAUGAGAAGGCCUUCGGGUUGUAAAGGACUUUUGGCAGGGAAGCGGUAUCUACAGAAUAAGCACCGGCUAACUACGUGCCAGCAGCCGCGGUAAUAC